CACAGACUGCUAGCCAGCAACAGUAAUUAAGGUAAGAGGAGCCAACUUGGCCUAGGCAUCAGCGAGCUAUGUUGUGUUGCUAUAUUGUGAAUAGGAACCAGAGUGUUGGAGAGACCACCCUCCAGGCCCCAUUAGACUCCAUUGUAGUCUCUAAUGGGGCCUGGAGGAGAUUCUUUCUAACACACUCUCUAAAGGACACUGAGAUAGCCUCUGCUAGAAA